rfam:Takifugu rubripes chromosome, Chr_13
GUCAGGAUGGCCGAGCGGUCUGAGGCGCCAGACUCAAGGAUCAACUCCUUCCGGUGUUACGGGGCUUCUGGUCUCCCAAUGGAGGCGUGGGUUCGAAUCCCACUUCUGACA